UUAAGUUGUGUAGGGCGCAUGGUGGAUGCCUUGGUGCCGAAUGAUGCCGAUGAAGGACGUGUGAGGCUGCGAUAUUCCUGGGGGAGUUGUCAACAGGGCGUUGAUCCCAGGGUUUCCGAAUGGGGUAACCUAGCCGGCUUGGUGGUCGGUUGCUGCUGGUUGAAUGUAUAGGCCAGUUGGUGGUGUGCGGGGAAGUGAAACAUCUUAGUACCUGUUGGAGAAAACAAUAGUGAUUUCGUGAGUAGUGGCGAGCGAAAGCGGAUGGAGGCUAAACUGUGAUCGUGUGAAGAGGCGGUAGCUGUUGCGGUUGCGGGGUUGUGAGGUUGCGCUGGUCGUCUUCUACCGGGGGCGUGCGUGUGUGUGCUGGUUAGCUGAAUGGCUUGGGAUGGUCAACCGGAGUGGGUGAGAGUCCUGUAGGUGAAGGCUGGUGUGCAUGUGUUGGUGUGAUGCUCGAGUAGUGCGGGGUUCGUGGAGCCUUGUGUGAAUCUGCCAGGACCGUCUGGUAAGCCUAAACGUGUUUGGUGACCGAUAGUGGAUGAGUACCGUGAGGGAAUGGUGAAAAGUACCCCGGGAGGGGAGUGAAAGAGUGCUUGAAACCGUGUGCCUGUAAGCCGUCAGAGCCUGUUGCCUGUCUUUUGGUGGGUGUGGGUGAUGGCGUGCCUUUUGAAGAAUGAGCCUGCGAGUUAAGGUGUGCAGCGAGGUUAACCUGUUGUGGGGUAGCCGGAGCGAAAGCGAGUCUGAAGAGGGCGUAGAGUUGUGUGUUUUAGACCCGAAGCGGGGUGAUCUACCCAUGUCCAGGGUGAAGCGCGUGUAAGAGCGUGUGGAGGCCCGAACCCACCUAAGUUGCAAAUUGGGGGGAUGAGGUGUGGGUAGGGGUGAAAGGCCAAUCAAACUCCGUGAUAGCUGGUUCUCCCCGAAAUGUAUUUAGGUACAGCGUCAACAUGUUCAUGUGAUGGUGGUAGGGCUCUGAUUCGGGAAUGGGCCGUGUUGGUUACUGACUCGAGUUAAACUUCGAAUGCUGUUGUGUGGUGUUGGCAGUGAGACUGUUGGUGAAAAGAUCAAGGGUCGAGAGGGAAACAGCCCUGAUUACCGGCUAAGGCCCCUAAGGGUGUGCUGAGUGGAAAAGGAUGUUUGAUCGCGUUGACAGCCAGGAGGUUGGCUUAGAAGCAGCCAUCCUUGAAAGAGUGCGUAAUAGCUCACUGGUCGAGUGGUUGAGCGCCGAUAAUGUAGCGGGGCUGAAGUGCACCGCCGAAGCCGUAGCGCAUGUGGCCACGUUGGUGGUUGUGUGUGGGUAGGGGAGCGUCGUGCAUGCGGGGAAGCGGAAGCGUGAGCUAGCCCGUUGGGGUGUGUCCGUGGAGUGUGUGCGAGUGAGAAUGCAGGCAUGAGUAGCGUAAGGCUAGUGAGAAUCUAGUCCGCCGUUUGACUAAGGGUUCCAGAGGACGGUUGUUCCGCUCUGGGUUAGUCGGGUCCUAAGGCGAGGCCGUGAGGCGUAGUCGAUGGUUGACCGGUUGAUAUUCCGGUACCCGAGUGAUGCGUGUUGUGCGAAGGCAGUUAUGCUAACCGGCUGGUGACGGAUGGUUGAGGGGUUUUGCUUCUUGGCUGUUUUGAUCUGGUUGGGGUCCUUUCUGUUGGUAGUGUAGUGAUGGGGUGACGCAUGGGGAUAGCAGUACCGUCUGGUGGAUGAGGCGGGGUAAGGUGGUAGCCCGUUGUUUAGGUAAAUCCGAGCAAUGGCCCUUGAGUGGGUGUGGGUGAGCGCUGAUGCGUAGACCGUUGGGUUGAAUUCUGUGAUUCCGUGGUGUCGAGAAAAGCCUCUAGCGAGUGUUGUUCGGCCCGUACCCUAAACCGACACUGGUGGUCAGGUAGAGUAUACUGAGGCGUUCGAGUGAUGUAUGGUUAAGGAAUUCGGCAAAUUGCCUCCGUAACUUCGGGAGAAGGAGGGCCCUUACUGGUGUAGUCAAGCGACUGUGAGCUGGUGGGGGUUGCAGAGUCUGGUGGGGAACGACUGUUUACUAAAAACAUAGGUCCAUGCGAAGCCGUGAGGUGAGGUAUAUGGACUGACGCCUGCCCGGUGCUGGAACGUUAAGAGGAUCCAUUAGCCCUGUGGGGUGUCGUGGUGAAUUGAAGCGCCAGUAAACGGCGGUGGUAACUAUAACCAUCCUAAGGUAGCGAAAUUCCUUGUCGGGUAAGUUCCGACCUGCACGAAUGGCGUAACGAUUCCCUUGCUGUCUCAACCAUAUGCUCGGCGAAAUUGCAGUACGAGUAAAGAUGCUCGUUUCGCGCGGCAGGACGGAAAGACCCCGGGACCUUUACUAUAGCUUGGUAUUGGUGCACUGUUUGGUUUGUGUAGGAUAGGCAGGAGACUGGGAAGCUGGCACGCUAGUGUUGGUGGAGUCGUUGGUGAAAUACUGCUCUGGUUUGAUGGUGUGUCUAACCUUCGGCCCUGAUCGGGUUGGGGGACAGUGCCUGGUGGGUAGUUUAACUGGGGCGGUUGCCUCCUAAAUGGUAACGGAGGCGUUCAAUGGUGCCCUCGGGCUGGUUGGAAACCAGUUGGUGAGUGUAAGCGUAUAAGGGUGCUUGACUGUGAGACUGACGGGUCGAGCAGGAACGAAAGUUGGGGCUAGUGAUCCGGCAUCAACGUACGGGUGUGGUGUCGCUCAACGGAUAAAAGGUACCCCGGGGAUAACAGGCUGAUCUUCCCCAAGAGUCCGUAUCGACGGGAUGGUUUGGCACCUCGAUGUCGGCUCGUCGCAUCCUGGGGCUGGAGUUGGUCCCAAGGGUUGGGCUGUUCGCCCAUUAAAGCGGCACGCGAGCUGGGUUUAGAACGUCGUGAGACAGUUCGGUCCCUAUCCGCCGCGCGCGUUGGAGAUUUGAUGAGGGGCUGUCCCUAGUACGAGAGGACCGGGAUGGACGAACCGCUGGUGUGCCAGUUGUUCCGCCAGGGGCAUGGCUGGUUGGCUACGUUCGGGAGCGAUAACCGCUGAAAGCAUCUAAGUGGGAAGCGUGCUUCGAGAUGAGAUCUCCGUCAACAUUGGUUUGUUGGUGAGGUUCCCUAGAGAUGAUGGGGUUGAUAGGCCGGGUAUGGAAGCAGGGUGACUUGUGGAGUGGACCGGUACUAAUGGCCGAGAGCUUAACCAA
rnacentral:rRNA from 1 species